AACGAACGCUGGCGGCAUGCUUAACACAUGCAAGUCGAGCGCAUCCAUCAGGGGCUUCCUCGGAUGAGUUAGUCACGCGUGGGAACAGUACCACUUCUAUGAAAUACCCUCGGGAAACUGAGAAUAUCGCCGUAUACGCGCGCAAAGCGGAAGAUAUAUCGAACGACAUUCUUCCCUAGUGUGAGAAGGUUUUUCGGUGGCUAAUGGACGACCACGCCGAGCAUCAGCUGCUUGGUAAGGUAACGGAUUAGCAACGCAACGAUGCGUAGACGACCCGAGAGUGUGAACGGCCACACUGUAACUGAGACACGGUCCAGACUCCUACGGGAGGCAGCAGUAGGGAAUCUUCCGCGAUGGGCGAAAGCCUGACGGAGCAACGCCGCGUGAGUGAUGAAGGUCUUCGGAUCGUAAAACUCUGUUAGUAGGGAAGAACAAAUGGGAAAGUAACUAUGCACGUCUUGACGGUACCUAAUCAGAAAGCCACGGCUAGCUACGUG
rnacentral:rRNA from 1 species